rnacentral:tRNA from 1 species
UGGCUCAGUUGGUAGACCAUGGUGCUUGCAACGCCAGGGUUGUGGGUUCGAUUCCCAU